rnacentral:rRNA from 1 species
GACGAACGCUGGCGGCGUGCUUAACACAUGCAAGUCGAACGGAAAGGCCCUGCUUUUGUGGGGUGCUCGAGUGGCGAACGGGUGAGUAACACGUGAGUAACCUGCCCUUGACUUUGGGAUAACUUCAGGAAACUGGGGCUAAUACCGGAUAGGAGCUCCUGCUGCAUGGUGGGGGGUGGAAAGUUUCGGCGGUUGGGGGUGGACUCGCGGCUUAUCAGCUUGUUGGUGGGGGAGUGGCUUACCAAGGCUUUGACGGGUAGCCGGCCUGAGAGGGUGACCGGCCACAUUGGGACUGAGAUACGGCCCAGACUCCUACGGGAGGCAGCAGUGGGGAAUAUUGCACAAUGGGCGGAAGCCUGAUGCAGCAACGCCGCGUGCGGGAUGACGGCCUUCGGGUUGUAAACCGCUUUCGCCUGUGACGAAGCGUGAGUGACGGUAAUGGGUAAAGAAGCACCGGCUAACUACGUG